UACGGGGGGAGCAAGCGUUGUUCGGAUUUACUGGGUGUAAAGGGUUCGUAGGCGGUGCGGCAAGUUGGGAGUGAAAUCUCUGGGCUUAACCCAGAGGCUGCUUCCAAAACUGCUGUGCUUGAGUGUGGGAGAGGCGCGUGGAAUUGCAGGUGUAGCGGUGAAAUGCGUAGAUAUCUGCAGGAACACCCGUGGCGAAAGCGGCGCGCUGGACCACUACUGACGCUGAGGAACGAAAGCUAGGGGAGCAAACAGG
rnacentral:rRNA from 1 species